UGGAUUGAAGUAGCGAUCGCCAAAGAAGCCAUUGCCAUCAUAUCUGUUGCAACACCACAUAGGUUUGCUUACAUGGUUGUCUAAUAUCACCAUCACAUUAUUCUCCCCAAGGUUCUUAACCACUUCCUGCAGAACUUGCACAACGGUGAUAUCAAGCAAGGAGGGAUUAUUGACUUGCAGGCCAGCAAUGGAUUCAAUAAGAUUUAAGCUCUGGAAGGACUCACGAACAGUCAUAGAAGAUAAGGUGUCAUUUGUAACCAUGAAAGUUGGCCAUGUAAGCCUAACACAAUUGAAACCCAUGGAUGCAAUCUUCUUUGAUAUUGUAUCCAAAGGUUGCUUACUUAGACCUUCAGGCACCAUUAAAAGGUGUCCAGCCC